rnacentral:lncRNA from 1 species
CGCCUCUGCCACGGCGAUCGGCGCCGCCGUCGCUAAAGUGGGCACGGGCGCCGGACCCGCGUAGCGCACAGCCGAACACGAGGUCGCCCACGGUCGCUGCUGUUGCCACAGUGCCGCCAUGUCGCCGCUGUCUAUUUUUUUUUCUCGCUCCUUUUUCGAUUGUUUGCUGGGCGCGUCUGGCCUGUUUUCUCUGCUGUCUCGGUUCGGCGCCAGGCAACCGUCCACAGCGCAGACCUCCUUUUUUUUAUACACAAAAAAU